GACGAACGCUGGCGGCGUGCUCAACACAUGCAAGUCGAGCGGUAAGGCCCUUUCGGGGGUACACGAGCGGCGAACGGGUGAGUAACACGUGGGUGACCUGCCCUCAGCUCUGGGAUAAGCCUGGGAAACCGGGUCUAAUACCGGAUAUGACUCCAUGACGCAUGUUGUGGGGUGGAAAGCCUUGUGCGGCUGAGGAUGGGCCCGCGGCCUAUCAGCUUGUUGGUGGGGUGAUGGCCUACCAAGGCGACGACGGGUAGCCGGCCUGAGAGGGCGACCGGCCACACUGGGACUGAGACACGGCCCAGACUCCUACGGGAGGCAGCAGUGGGGAAUCUUGCGCAAUGGGCGAAAGCCUGACGCAGCGACGCCGCGUGAGGGAUGACGGCCUGGUGUAAC
rnacentral:rRNA from 1 species